UACGAAGGGGGCUAGCGUUGUUCGGAAUCACUGGGCGUAAAGGGCGCGUAGGCGGCUUGAUAAGUCGGGGGUGAAAGCCUGUGGCUCAACCACAGAAUUGCCUUCGAUACUGUAGAGCUUGAGACCGGAAGAGGUAAGUGGAACUGCGAGUGUAGAGGUGAAAUUCGUAGAUAUUCGCAAGAACACCAGUGGCGAAGGCGAGUCUCUGGGAUGAAGCUGACGCUGAGGCGCGAAAGCCAGGGGAGCAAACGGG
rnacentral:rRNA from 1 species